rnacentral:rRNA from 1 species
AUCUAUGGCCAUACCACCCUGAAUGUGCAAAAUCUCAUCUGAUUUCCAAAGCUAUGCAAGGUUGGAUCUGGUUAGUACUUGGAUGGGAGACUGUUUUGGAAUACCUGUUGCUGGAGUAG